UCUGCUAGGAGCCAGGGUGUGGAGACAGGGUGGAGAUGGGAAGGAGAGACCCCAGCCUGACAUGCACCAGAGCCCCUGGGCCCACAGAGCAGGCCCUGGGAAAAGGUCUCUGGGUGACUGACCGUCCACAUGAACCUGAGGCAGCAGCUGCCCAGGUAUUCAGCUGGGGGAGGGAGUGAGCCUCUGGGCCACCCCUGACCCCUACCCACUUGGCCCCAGCUCAGCGUCAGCCAGCAUCCAGCGACCGCAGAGACCUGGGAGGGCGGCUGCGACUACAGGGGCCCCACGUGAUCUGGGCCACCUGCCUCCAUGGACAAUGACAGCGACAAUAAAGUGUUUGUGUCCCA